AGGACGAACGCUGGCGGCGUGCUUAACACAUGCAAGUCGAGCGGUAAGGCCCUUUCGGGGGUACACGAGCGGCGAACGGGUGAGUAACACGUGAGCAAUCUGCCCUUCACUUCGGGAUAAGCCUCGGAAACGGGGUCUAAUACCGGAUAUGACCGCGCUACGCAUGUGGUGUGGUGGAAAGUUCUGGCGGUGGAGGAUGAGCUCGCGGCCUAUCAGCUUGUUGUGGGGUAAUGGCCUACCAAGGCUUCGACGGGUAGCCGGCCUGAGAGGGUGACCGGCACACUGGGACUGAGACACGGCCCAGACUCCUACGGAGGCAGCAGUGGGGAAUAUUGGACAAUGGGCGAAAAGCCUGAUCCAGCAACGCGCGUGAGGGAUGACGGCUUCGGUGUAACUCGUUCAGCGCGACGAAGCGAGAGUGACGGUAGGCGCAGAAGAAGCACCGGCCGACACGUAGCAGCAGCCGC
rnacentral:rRNA from 1 species